CCGCAGGCUCCAGCGUGGGGGGGCCUGCUGUGGCCCCCACCGUCCCUGCAGCGCUGCCAGAGCACCCGGGGCCGUUUGAGGCCUCUCCCGGCGCCUCCCGGGGGCGGUUAUGGAAACCCCGGACAUCC
rnacentral:snoRNA from 12 species